rnacentral:tRNA from 12 species
UAAUAGCUCAGUCGGUAGAGCAUUCGUCUGCUCAUUCAAAGGUUGUUGGUUCAAUUCUUCCCAUA